rnacentral:rRNA from 1 species
UACGUAGGGUGCGAGCGUUAAUCGGAAUUACUGGGCGUAAAGCGUGCGCAGGCGGUUAUGUAAGACAGUUGUGAAAUCCCCGGGCUCAACCUGGGAACUGCAUCCGAUACUGCCAUGCUAGAGGAUUGGAGAGGUAGCUGGAAUUCUUGGUGUAGCAGUGAAAUGCGUAGAGAUCAAGAGGAACACUCGUGGCGAAAGCGAGCUACUGGACAAUUCCUGACGCUGAGGCUCGAAGGCUAGGGUAGCGAAAGGG